rnacentral:lncRNA from 1 species
CUUGCAACAGUUAAACUGGCAGACAAUUACAUUUGAAUUCUUCAUAACUUGUCUGGUACUCAGAUGCAAACAGGGAACAAAAAUUUCCCCUAUUAUACAUACUAACAUUCCUAUGUUCCUAUGGAGCUUCAGGCUGCAUUCUAAGAUAAAUGUCUCAUUAGAUUGUCACUGGAAUUUUGUUGGAUCAUCCUUAUAAAAGACCACAGUCCAAGCCCAGAAUGAAACACACUUGCAGCAGAAUGCAUUUUGAGAUUCCCAGAAAAGCAACACUUUGGAAAGGACCAGGAGAUGAAAAUCAGAAAAUAGAUGCAAGAGCAACCUAGCUUAAAGAGUUCUUAUGUCCUGCACUUCAAAUGAGGCAGUCCGUUAGCAAGUUUACCUCAGGUGACUCCAAAGCAAUAGCCUCGCAAAUAUACUACCAUCUGGCUGUGAGUUAUACAGGCAGAUCUACCAAGAAGAGGCACAGAACUAUCAUCACCCACAUUAAAAGGCCACUUGGCAUGUAUGUCAGGAACACUUAUCAGCAAGGUCACUGAAUUAGAAUGAGCUCUAAGAGCAACAUCUGAUACCAAAAAUAUCCUUGUCCUGGCAGCCUCAAUACAACUUACUACUUCAACAAUUUUUGCAUGAAGAAAACAAGUCUUCUGGAUGUCAGCUGUCAUCACAUGAACAAGUUAAGGGACUGCCUGAAAACUGUGAACAUUCC